ensembl:misc_RNA Metazoa_SRP Metazoan signal recognition particle RNA
GCUGGGCGCGGUGGCUCACGCCUGUAAUCCCAGCUUUUUGGGAGGCUGAGGCGGGUGGAUCACCUGAGGUCAGGAGUUUGAGACCAGCCUGACCAACAAGGUGAAACCCCGUCUCUA